CCUACGGGGGGCAGCAGCGAGGAAUAUUGGUCAAUGGGCGGGAGCCUGAACCAGCCAAGUCGCGUGAGGGAAGACGGUCCUACGGAUUGUAAACCUCUUUUGCCGGGGAGCAACGGGGUCCUUGCGAGGGCCCAAUGAGAGUACCCGGAGAAAAAGCAUCGGCUAACUCCGUGCCAGCAGCCGCGGUAAUACGGAGGAUGCGAGCGUUGUCCGGAUUUACUGGGUGUAAAGGGAGCGCAGGCGGCACGGCAAGCCUGAUGUGAAAGCCCGCGGCCCAACCGCGGGACUGCAUUGGGAACUACCGG
rnacentral:rRNA from 1 species